AACUUUCGGCAACGGGGAUCACUUGGCUCUCGCAUCGAUGAAGAACGCAGCGAAAUGCGAUAAGUAAUGUGAAUUGCAGAAUUCAGUGAAUCAUCGAAUCUUUGAACGCACCUUGCGCCCCUCGGUUAUUCCUUGGGGCAUGCCUGUUUGAGUAUCAUGAACACCUCAACUCUCACGGUCUUCCGUGACGAGCUUGGACUUUGGGGGUUUGCUGGCCCUGUGGCCGGCUCCUCUCAAACAAAUCAGCUUGCCAGUGUUUGGCGGCAUCUCACGGGUGUGAUAACUAUCUACGCUCGUGGCUGUCUGCCAGGUAACCCUCAGCGAUGAAGGUUCAUUGGGGCUCAUAAACGUCUCUCCUCGGCGAGGACAACUUUUGAACGUUCGAUCUCAAAUCAGGUAGGACUACCCGCUGAACUUAAGCAUAUCAAUAAGCGGAGGCU
rnacentral:misc_RNA from 1 species